GAUGAAGAACGUAGCGAAAUGCGAUAAGUAAUGUGAAUUGCAGAAUUCAGUGAAUCAUCGAAUCUUUGAACGCACCUUGCGCUCCUUGGUAUUCCGAGGAGCAUGCCUGUUUGAGUGUCAUUAAAUUCUCAACCUUAUUGGCUUUUGCUGAUAAUGGCUUGGACUUGGGGGUCUUUUUGCUGGCUUUCAUUAGUCUGCUCCCCUUAAAUGUAUUAGCCGGUGCCCCGCAGUGGAACCGUCUAUUGGUGUGAUAAUUAUCUACGCCGUGGACGUCUGCUAUAAUGGGUUUGCGCUGCUUCUAACCGUCACUCGGGACAAAACAAAUGACAAUUUGACCUCAAAUCAGGUAGGACUACCCGCUGAACUUAAGCAUAUCAAUAAGCGGAGGA
rnacentral:misc_RNA from 1 species